rnacentral:lncRNA from 1 species
GGCUCUGCCCAUCCCCACAUCCCCACUGGCUGCUUUACCCAUGCUUGGCUUUAUCUCCUGAGCUGCGUGCUUCCUUCCUACGUUUAACACUUAGGCGAAAAUCAAGAGCUAUUUCGGAAACAUCCUGAGACUGGAGGUGACGGAGAAGUGGGAGAAGGAGGUUCACCCAGAGGUGGAGGACAACCUGUACCACUCCUCGCUCUCCUUCGACAUACAAACGAUCAUUGGGGAGCACAUGAAGAUUUCUGGAGCCAUCAGCAAAAGCCUGAAAGCAAAAACACUGGAGCUGUGCCUGGCUGAAUUGCACGAAUUCAUACCAAGGUUUGGGGAGGAGUUCAUGGAGUGGCACGCAGCCCGCGACAGCCCCGUGUUCGUGCCCUACUUCGCUGCCUACACCAACAGCUUCCACCACCUGGUGUCAGGCUUGGAAACAGUGUUUAAAGUCAACACUGAGGAACUGCAAAAGAUUUUGGCUUCUCUGACAAAGAACUUCAGAAACAUGUUUCUAAAUAAAUUGAGAACAAAAACACAGGUAAGAGGAUCAAAGCCCCACUAUUCCCCCUACAUAAGGAGUAUGUGCAGAAGCUGAGGGCCUUUGCCCUUUCCUUGUCUGUCCAGCUGGACCUCAUUGUGCAGCAAAUGAUGCUAGGGUCUCUCCAAAAUGUGUCGUGCCUGACUUAUACAAAUACUGCUUUAUCCAGAGUAACCCUUCCAGUACCCUGGGAGCUUUUCAUUAUGACCAUAUAUAUUUGUUCAGUACAAGAGCAACCAAAAGAAAAGGGUGUUCAGCGGCUUUCAGCUUUUGGGGCAAAGCAGAGUGGGAACUUCACCCAUAGUGGAGCACCAGGGAAGUCAGCUGGGCAACACCAAUGGGGCAUUUUUCCUUCUAUCAAGACAUCUGGAUUUGUCAGGACUUUGUCUUACACUUAUUUGUUCAUAGAUUUGUUAUCAUGCUCUGUUAUCAACCUCUGCCUAUAAGCUCUAUCACGGCCUCUUCAGACAGGCCAGGCUAUUUUCUGGCUGGGGUGAUUUUUCCAGUCAGUUUCCAUGGUGAAGAAAAAGAUAAUUCUUUCACCAUCAAGAUGAUGGAGCUCUGCUUUCUGCUGCUCUGGGCUAACUUGUGUUAAGAGGCCUAAAAGGCAAGGUGCUGCAAUGCAGUUUGUGCCUGCCGGGUGCUGUAGAUGGGGCUUUCUGCUCUCAGCUAGCCAGGGGUCUGCUGGCUCUAGCUGGAAUAACAAGAGAGAUUGGGGAAAUUAAGCCUUUAGUGCCACCACUUCCCACUCAUCUUAAUUCACUUUCCAAAACACCAAGUGUAACUUUCAGAAACCAAGGCAGUCACACAUCAAGAGCUGUCCUCUGACUGCAGAUAAGCCUGUCUGGCCAAGGGGACUUUCCAGUCGCUGCAGGGUUUAUGUCGGAGCCCUAGGGACAGGCAAGGAAGGAGACAAGCCAAGACAUUGUGCAAGAGAGCUGAAUUGCUGUGAGAACUGAGAGUGCCAGGGCACUUCUGAGCAGCCUUUCAGCAGGCUGGGAGCACAGCAGGAGGGCACGAGUUGGGAAAUAAUUGGGAAGGAGAGUGCCAGCAGGAG